rnacentral:rRNA from 1 species
GACGGAGGAUGCAAGUGUUAUCCGGAAUCACUGGGCGUAAAGCGUCUGUAGGUGGUCAAAUAAGUCAACUGUUAAAUCUUGAGGCUCAACCUCAAAAUCGCAGUCGAAACUAUUUGACUAGAGUAUAGUAGGGGUAAAGGGAAUUUCCAGUGGAGCGGUGAAAUGCGUAGAGAUUGGAAAGAACACCGAUGGCGAAGGCACUUUACUGGGCUAUUACUAACACUGAGAGACGAAAGCUAGGGUAGCAAAUGGG